UGCUAAGCAGUAAAGCAUUUCACUAAUAUGCCUCCCAUAACAAGAUCCUGCAGAAUGAGUAUAUGGAGUUAGAUAAAAAGUUAAAAAGCAGGACCUCAGUGGAUGUGACUUCUGGAUUACUCCCUGUGUCAUGCGCUUGAGAGUCCAGGAAUCAAAAGAUAGGCUGGAUGAAUUAGUAGUGUAGGAGAUAGGAAUUCAGCUCCUUGGACCUUUGGGAUGAAGACUGCUAUGGACUCACUUUCGUGAAGUUCGUUUGCUUUUGAUUUUGGCACAAUUUCUUUUCCUGCUCUUCGGGUGUUUGAUGGUCAUUUUUUUUAAUUGGUUCUAUCGGGUUUCUUUCAUUUGUGGCUGCCUGUAUGGAGAUGGAUCUCAAGGUUGUGUGUAGUAUACCUACUCUGAAAAUAAGUUUACUUUAACUUUGACUUUGAUCUCUUUUGAGGUAGAGGUGACCUGAACAAAAGGGAUAGGUUGCACUUGAACCAGCAAGGGACCAAUAUCUUUACAGGGAAAUCUGCUAAUGCUACACAGAUGGGGUUGAACAAAUUUGGCAGGGGUAUGGGGGAAGGAGCAGAUCAUCAGAUAAAGCAGUAGCCAAUGAGAGCAAGUUUAGUAAUCAGGAUAGCCAGCGGCACAGUCAUAGUGGGGAAUGGAAUGCUCAGUUAAACUGCAUUUAUUUCCAUGCCCAAGGCUGAAAAGGUAAGGUGGAUGAACUCAGAACAUGGAUUGACUCUCAGGACUGGGAUGUUAUAGCCACGGCAGAAACAAAACUGGCAGAAAGGCAGGAGUGGCUGAUCAAUUUUCUAGGAUACAGAUGCCACAAGUAAGACAGUGGUUUUGAGGCUGCUGGACCUACUGAGUUCCUCCCAUCAUUUGAAGACACAAGAGUCGGCAGAUGCUGGAAUCUGGAGAAAGAAACCAUCUGCUGAAAGAUCUUGGCUGGUUGCACUGUGGUAGGAAAGGAAUUGUCAACGUUCAUGGUCGAAAUCCAAUAAUCCAGGGAAAAACAACCCAUAAAAAAUCCCGAAGCUGGGCUUCAAACUGAUACAUUGAUAAUUUAUUUUCUCCUACAGAAGUCUUAAGAGGAUAGGUUGAGCAAGAUAAAGGUUUUCUCUUUGGACGAGAGAUACAAGAGGCAUUAGUAGAGUGGUUGUAUGGAGACUUUUGCCCUAGAUGGAACGCUGUCGCAGGAAAGCAGCAUCCAUCAUCAGGGACCUCCACCAUCCUGGACAUUCGUCCUUCUCACUGCUGCCAUAAGGAAGAAGGUACAAGAGCCUCAAGGCUCAGACAACCAGGUUCAGGAACAGUUAUUACCCCUCACCAUCAGGCUCUUGAACCAAAGGGGAAAAUUUCACCCAACUUCACUUUCCCCACCACUGAAAUCAUUUCUUCUUUUUGUAUUUGCUCAGUUUGUUGCCUUCUGCACUCUAGUCGGGUGGUCUUUCUUUGAUUCUGUUAUAGAUUUGUUGAGACAGGCCUGGGGAGUUCUAGACAGGGCUGAUUAACUUGAGACAGGCCUGGUAAUCUCAAGACAGACCAGAAUAAAUGUAGGACACUUUGAAUAAUACUCAGAAACAUCAAAUAUAACUUGGAAACAUGGAAUGAACAUGGGAAUUUUGAAUAAAUCUCUUAAACGUAGAACUAACCUGAAAAACAUGGAAGGCCACAGGAGACCUAGUGAACCUUAUUGGCCUUGAGUACCUUAGAAAAAGCCUUGAACAUGGACUAGAGAAGCUUGGAACUCAGAAUGAGGACAAGAGAAACUAAGAAUGAAGCUGUGUGGGGUAAGUUUUUUACUACGAGAGUGGUGGAUGCCUGGAAUGUGCUGCCUGGUAUGAUGAUAGAGGCAAAUACAUUAAAAAGACAUUUAAGUUGACACAUGAAUACAAGGAAUACGUUUUUGAUUUACUUUUUAGCUGUUUCGGCACAACGUUUUGGGCCAAAGGGCCUGUUCCCGUACUGUUCUAUAUUCUAAGACUGGAAACAGUUGGAACAAAGACUCAGUAUGUUCACUAGAGAAUAGAUUGCAUCCUCACCUCCAGCUGACCAAUGUCCAAGCCGCUGUUCAACCUCUGUUGGGUCCAUUAUAUCGUGGGUCCCUUCUGUUGUGAUGUAGACUGGCAUUGCCGGAACCCAAGUGCGGAGGAAAGACAGACUCCCAUGCUGGAUACCGCAAACAAAGCUUAUACAUAACAAUUCCAACAAUACAUCGAUGGCUUGACUGAGCAACACUGCAAUAAGUAACAUCCUGGCUAACUGGCUAAUAUCUACCAUGAGGGGGCAUAGUUUUAAGGAGCUUUGUAGCAGUUACAGAGGGGUAAGUUUAUCACACGGAGAGUGGUGAGUGUGUGGAAUGCACUGCUAGCGUCAGUGGUAGCGGUGGAUACAAUAGGGUCUUUAAAGAGACUCUUACAUAGGUACAUGGAGCCUAGAAAAAUAGAGGAUUAUGCAGUAGGGAAACUCUAGGCAGUUUCUAGAGUAGGUUACCUGGCUGGCACAAUAUUGUGGGCUGAAGGGCUUGUACUGUGCUGUAGAUGUCUAAGUUCUAAGUUUUAUCCUCAAACUUAGGACCCCUGAUAUAUGUAUGUAUGAGAAGCAGUGUUGUAAAGCAACUAACCAACCGCUCCACACCCCCAGCCACUGGUACUUUAUCAUUUCCUGCCAGUUACCUUAUGCAUUGACACACCUGUGCCUACCAUCACCUUAUGGACGUAAAAUCAAUCUAUGUAUAUAAACUAUCUUAGGUACUUAUAUUUAAUUUAUAUAUAAUUAUAAUAUGUAUGUAUACAUAUAUAUAUAAUACCUCAAUAUAUGUUCAUCUACAUCCCUGUGUCUACCACAUUCCAAUUAUUCAGAAGGCUUACAUCAGCUUCACCUUGCCCAGAAAGGGUUAAUGUCACUACGCUUUGGAACUGCGAUGGCUCCAUUUGUGUAAAUGAAAUCUGUUUAAUCUUAUUAAUCAGCCCUGUCAGUUCUAAGUUCCCAAGGUGACCCAUGAACUCCAUCUUGUAGUUGAGAUUUAUUUAUUUUUCAGAACAGGUUAAGAAUAGAACUGGCCUCUCUUAACAGAGCUGCCAUUUAGGAUGGAGUGGUUUGGCCCAUAUAAAUUGGUAACAUGAAGCUUUUUAAUUGGGAAAUUAAAUAAUUUCUCUGCCACAAAGGUGACACAUUGACAUUGAUAGUUGUUGCCUGAGAGAAAUACUCCAAGGGCAUGUCUGCACAUCUGCGUGAACCACAUCCCAUUAGCUGUCAAUAGGGAUUGCUAGUGUAAGCCAAUUACUGGAAGCCAAGACAGUGACCAAACAUAACAGCAAGUUCUAUGAAUAGGAGCUAAUCUGAUGUUACAGCAGUCGUCAUUCAACUAACCUUUCCUUCUAGUGUUUGCAGGUGGAAUUGCAGUUGCAAUCUUUCAGAUGUAUGUUCCUGGAUGUCCCAGUUAGCAACAGUGCCUACUUGGUCCCAUUUUGGUAGGGCAUCAUGGUACCUUCUCAGUUAGCGUGACACUGUCACAGCUUGGGGCAUCAGAGUUUGGAGCUGAAUUCCGGCGUCAUCUUUAAGGAGCUUGUACAUUUCUCUCCAUGGACAUGUGGGUUUCCUCCGGGUGCUCCGGUUUCCUCCCAUGGUCCAAAGAUGUAUAGGUUAUUAGGUUAAUUGUCCUGUGAUUAGUCUAGAGUUUAAUAGGCGGAUAACUGGGAGGUACGGCUCAUUGGGCCAGAAGGGUGUGAAAAGCACUAUAUCACUAAAUAAAUAAGCAUCUGGAAUGUAAUGUCAGAGGAGCAGGCAAACAAAGAUACAUUCAUUAAUUUGAGAGGCAUUUAGAUAGACACUUAAAUAGGCAAAGCAGAGAAGGAUACACCCCUAAUACAGGGAAAAGGGAUUAGUCUGGAUGGACAGAAAGGUCUGUGUGAAUGUAGUGGGCUGAAAGGACUGUUUCUGUGUGGUACUACUUUAUAACCCAACCAACGAUAGGACAUAACUCUAGUCACUGUUUGGCACACUUAACCCUCGAUCUCCACCUUCUACUUCCUACUGCAUAGCCAAUCAUAAAUCUGAUCUGCUAUCUCGCACCGGAUCCCCAUGGAUCCAAUGUGAUCUAACUUUCAAAACCGGCCUGCCAUGAGGGAUCUUGGCAAAAGCCUUGCUAAAGUCUAUAUAGACAAAAUUUAUUGGCUUACCCUCAUCAACGCUCUUGUUUACCUCCUUGAAGAACUCGAAAAGAGAUAGAUGCUGUGAAUGCUUUCCUCUUUUUAUUAACCAGAGCUUUAUCCUGUGAAGCCUCCUAACAGCCUGGGGAUAUCUGCUCUGGGUGAAAGAUUGCUGAAUCCUAAUGAAAGUCCUCAGCCCAAAAUGUUGAUUAUUUGUUGUUCCUAUCUCUUUUAGAGUUCUUCAGGAAGUUAACCAAGAGGGUAGGUGUGGGUAGUCCAUUGAGUCACUAGUUCACAAUUGCUUCAGUGCUAUGAAUGCCUCUCUCUUUUUCUUAGCCAGAGAUUUACCUUGCAGCCUAACCUUCCUAACAGCGUGAGGAUAUCUACUCUGGGAAAAAAGAUUCUCCAGUCCUGAUGAAGGGCCUCAGCCCAAAACGUCGACUGUUUAUUCCUCUCCAAAAAUACUGCCUGACCUGCUGAGCUCCUCCAGCAUUUUGUGCAUGUUGCAAACAAUUCUGGCUGUUGACCCUGUCUGUGCUUUCGUAACUUUAUAUAAUUUUGUCAGGUAUUGGGGCCACUUUAUGAUUUUUGAGGAAGAAUUUCACCUUUUGGGUGUAAGUGAUUUUCUGAAAAGAAACUACAAAUACAUUAUAUAAAUGCUCUUGGCUCAAAGUUCAAAGUAAACUUAUUAUCUAUGUACAUACAGUAUAUGUCACCCUGAGGUUUGUUUUCUUGCAGGCAUACACAAUAAAUGCAAGAAUAGAAUCAAUGAACGGCCACACCUAAAAUGACAGCCAUAAACCAAUGUGCAAAAAAAAAACGAAACACGCAAAUACAAAAGCUACCUCUUUCAGAAUCCUGGCAGCACCCAUUAUUAAGGACCCCCGGCACCCAGGGCAUGCCAUUCUCUCACUGUUACCAUCAGGUAGGAGGUACAGAAGCCUGAAGGCUCACACUCAGUGAUUCAGGAACAGCUUCUUCCCCUCUGCCUUCUGAUUCCUAAAUGGACAUUGAACCCUUGGACACUGCCUCUCUUUUUUUCUAAUAUACAGUAAUUCUGAUUUAGACUAUAAGUAUACUGUAAUUGAUUUAAUUUUUUUUCUCUUCUAUAUUAUGUAUUGCAUUGAAUUGUUGCUGCUAAUUUAACGUUACAUGCCGGAUAAUAAACCUGAUUCUGAUUGUGAUUCUGUAGUCCAAAUGGUUCAGGUGACUUGCCUACCUUCAGACCUUUCAGCUUCUCAAGCACUUUCCAUUUAGUACAACAACUAUACUCACUUCUGCCUCCUUACACUUUCAAAUUUCUGGCAUUCUGCUGGUGUCUUCCACAGUAAAACUGACAAAAAAUACCUCCUGAGCUCAGUCGCUAUUUCUUUGCCCCCAUUACCACCUUCCCAGCAGUUUUUUCCAGAUGUCCUAUAUUCACUUCCAUUGCUCUUUUACUCUUUACAUAUCUGGAAAAAAAACUUCUUUCAUCCUUUUUUUAUAUUAUUGACUAGCUUACCUUUAAAUUUCAUCUUUUCUUUCCUUACUGCUUUUUAGUUGUCUUUUGUUGGCUUUUAAAAGCUUUCCAGUCCUCUAGCUUCACAAUAAUUUUUGUUAUAUUGUCUCUUGCUUUUGUGCAGUCCUUACUUCCCUUGGCAGCCAUGGUUGCCUCAUCCUCUCUUUAGAAUACUUCUUCUUUGCGCCUUCAGAACUGUUCUCAAAAUCUCCAGCCAUUUCUGUUCUGCCAUCAUCUCUGUUAGUGUCUUCUUCCAAUCAGCUUCGGCCAACUCCUCUCUCACACUUCUGUAAUUCCCUUUACUCCUCUGUAAUACUGAUACUGUAAUCUGAUUUUAGCUUCUCUCACUCAAACUACAAAUGUGAAUUUUAUCAUACGAUAAGAUCCCUAAUCAAAUUUGGUUCAUUACACAACAAUGCCCUUUCCCUAGUGAACUCAAACACAAGCUACCCUAAAAAUCCAUCUUGUAGGCAUUCUACAAAUUCUUUCUCUUAGGAUCCAGAACCAACCUAAUAUUCUCAAUUUACCUGCAUAUUGAAAUCCCCCAUGACUAUUGUAAAAUUGCCAUUUUUAAAUGCUUUUUCUAUUUGUAUCCCACAUCCUGGCUACUGUUCACAGACCUGUACAUAACACCCAUCACAGUUUCUUAACUCUAUCUACAAUGAUGCUACUGCUGCCAUAUGUUCUUAUUUAGUGAAGAAGCUAUCCCUGCAUGGCCAAAGUACAUGGUGAAGUUGCUUGUCCUCACUAACCAAGCAUUAUUCUAGCUACUCUGGCUAAGAUUAAUUUAACCAGAUGUCAAAUCUGGGAUCUCCCGGUCAAUCUGACAUGACUCUAUUCCACCACAAUGCUAUUACCAGCUUGUUGAACCAA